rnacentral:lncRNA from 1 species
AUGGAAAUAGCUGGUGCAGAUACCGCCACUGGCCUUUCAGCAUUAGGUCAGAAAGGACUAAGUGGGAACUUAAAGGAGAUUGAUUUGAAUGAAACGCCCUCUAUGCAAGCCAAGAGACGCCAAUUGAGACUGCUUACUCUGCUUAAAACAGGUAUUUAUAUACUUUAUUAACUUUUGCACCUUUCUAUUUACUGAUUAUCUUUAUAAUUAACUAAUACAUGUAUCCAGGUUUCUCCUUCCAUUUCAUUAGAAGUAAAUUGGAAUCUCUUUAUAGUGCUCUGUUAGGUGUAAUCAGAUGUAUCAAAAGAGAAAGAGUAAUUGUUAGUACAUUGAUAUCUCAACAAAAUGGUGGAACCUUUCUUUAUACCACUAAAGACAUUUGUUGCAGGAUGCCUACAGAAUCAGUGUGCUUUAAAACUUUCAAGGAGUUCGCAAUGCCUAACCCUUGAAACACUAAAUCUCACGGGAUCAACUCUUUACCUCUAGACCGAAGGUGUGACACCCAGACCCAAUUAGUGCUUAGAACACAUAUCGAAUCUGAGUGAAACUAAAUGCCUGUAAAUCCAAAUCUCCAAAAUAUCAAAAAGUCAUCUACUUUCUCUUUUCAUGUAUUUCACAAAAUUUUGAAAAAUUCAUUCUCAAUCAUAAACUAUGCACAGCUAAAUAUUCAGCAUAUCAGUAUAGAGCAAUACUUCCUCAUAAGCAAAUAAAUCUUACAAUCCUUCUUACAUGAUUUUAAAAAAAUACUAAUAGAAGUCUUCUAGAUACAAACAUAAACAGAAUUCAACUGUUUAAAACUAUGCCAAAACACAAGCUUCAAUCAGUAAUACAUACGACUAAUUAUUAAAAACAUCUAGGCAGAAACCUUACGAAAGCUCAAUCCUUCCGAAGCAUUCUUCAAAUUAAUAAUUGCUACCAUCUGUGAAAAAUAAUUGACAAGGAGUCAGCUGUGAAUUCAAUCAAUAGAAAUAUUCGUAACGAACAAAAAUAAUUCUUUGCGCAAUAUUUUCAGAAAAUUCAUUUAACCUUUCAAAUGAAACAGAGUAAUUUUUGUAACGCAGUCAGGAUUUAUAUAAAACACAAACGUUUCAAACAGAAGCUGUGCGGAAUGUAAAUUUUGCUUCUUUAAACAGAAAGUUAUAUAUUAGUUUGAUUUUAAAGGGAGGUUAUUGGGAAGUUAAAAUUGGCAGUUGUGGGAAAAGGGUAAUAGCAGUUAUAAAAUCUGUUUUAAAGCAAAUUCAAAUCAAGUUUCAAAUUUUAGGAGUACUUAAUUCAAUAAAAUAAGGAAUAAAUAAAGCUUUCAUUGAAACAAAACUAAGUAAAUUCAUUUAAAGCAAAAAAGGAUGGGAGCAUUACUAUGGGUUCUUAUGUUUACCCGCAGUCAGGCAUCUGGGACCUUGUUAUUUGGAGACAAGACUUGAUUGUGCUAUGUUUUCCACAGCCAGAUAUAUUUUACUUCAUUAGUUCCUAGACAUCUGUGGAUAAGAGAACCCUAAGCAUAUUGAGAAUAAAUUCCGUAAUCCAAGACUCUUCAGUUCUUUCAUUUGUGGCUAAUUAGUUAUAAAAUUUGUGAAUUUCAUGCCCCAUGCUCCUUGCAAAAUGUAUUUUAUAUCCUUAAGAUGCCAGUGGAUGAACUGAAAUAAUAAAAAAUGGAAGACAGAUUUAAUGCCGACAACAUUUCUUAAGAAAAACUUGGGAUGUUUAUAAUUUUCUUAGAGCAUUUGCUGAACUUUCUGUGAUCGCAGUCGAGACGGGUCAACGCUACUUCCCUCAUUGCUCAGAAGUGGUUGAUCACUUUAUGGAUUGGCCCUAUGCUUCCACCCCAAAAAUGGACGACGAGAAACUUAAAGUAGACGUGCAGGAGGCAUUCUGCAAGGACGUGGCUUAUCACCGUCGUAGAGGGCUGCCAUCAUCCUGGCCGGCAUUUUACCAGUACAUGGCUGAGAGCAAUCAGUCGGCAUUUUACAAGUACGUGGCUGAGAGCAAUCGUUCAGGAAUGGCGACAUCCUCGGCAGCGAGCAAUUAAGCAUCACCUUUCCCUAAAAGAUAUAUUUGACACCUGGAAAACUAAAGGAGUUGAGUGAGCUCUGCUCGAUUGGUAUUUGUAGUUUCUUUUUUUUUUCCUCAAGUGAUCUGGCAUGUAUCAAUUAGUUUGUAAAGUUAAUUGUAUUGUCUCAAGUCCGGUGAGAUGCGCGAACGUAUAGCAUGGAUCACAAACUCAUUUCAUAGAAUAUUUUUUUGUAUAAUUAUAUAAUUUAUAGGCUUUGCUUAAAAAAAUUAAAAAAAAAAAAAAAGAAUUGUAUUACAAUUGGUAUGAGGCAUGCAUGUGUGUGUCAUAUCAGUUACUGAACAAACUUUGCCUUUUAGUUUUGUAGGCACUACUAUCUCAAAUUCUCUGUUAUCAUGAAUGUGUAUUUUUUUUCUUUUUUCUUUUUUAACAAAUCAUAAAUGAGAUUAAGAUAAUCUUUUUUUUUAAAAGAAAAAAAUGGAAAUUUCUUUUAUUUUUCCUUAAAAAACUGAAGAAAAAUUUAGAAGGUAGUGAGAGACGGAGAAUUAAAGAAAUUUUAUUCACAAAUGUAAUGUGUUUGGUGCAGCAAUACAAACUAAUAAAUUAUAAUUUAUGAGACUAGUUUGCAAAAUCUUAUAUAUAAAAUUAUAUCCUCUGAAUAAAAAUCUUCUCACCUCUUUUGACUUCUCAUUUAGAUGUCCUCUCUAGAAUCUCUCUGGCCAUAAACACAUUUUUACAAAACAAAACAGAAGAAAUUAUAUAUAAUUCUCACAAGGACUAUUUCAUUUGCACAUAGUACGCAAUUGGUCACUAAAGUUAUUUGAGGAGAAAAUUUACAUGAGAUGGGUACAUCCUAUUAUCAGUAUUGUAAUUUAAAUUUGAACAUACUCGAAUGGUCUCUCAUAAAUUUUUCUCCAAUUUGAGAGAUGGUGGGGAAGUGGGGUUAAAGUGCAUCUGCAUAGAAUUAAUUAUAAUUAUAUUUAUUUUUUUAAACUAUUUUAACUAGAAGUAGUAGUAAUUCUUUUUAUUAUUGUUAUUCCAAUUAUAUCAAAAUCUCGUGACUCGUGAUCAAAUUAAGUAGUUCAUUAAAUUUUUUUAGGUGACGUACGGUAUGGAGUUUUUAUAAAUUUAUAUAAAUAGUAAAAUAUUUAAUUUUGUUUGUCGUAAACUUUUAAUUUGCAUGGGUUAAAAACGAAAAAAAGAAAUUGACUUAUUAAUUAAUUAACAAUUAUAGAAAGAAUAAAAAGCAAAUUAGAGUUGCGUGAGAAAACUCUCGUGAAAAGGGUUCCAGAUUUCCUUUCCCUGGCUUCGUGCGUUUCCUGUUUGCCCUUUCGAGCACAAUUCGAAUCCAAUACUUAAUAAUAAAGAUAUAAUAUUAAAAAAUAAGAAAAAGAAUCCAAAUUUUUACUGGUAUAUAAGGCAGAGCCAAAGCGAUAGCGAAACAUCAAAUUGUUUUUAUUUCAACCUUCGCGCAACUUCCGGUGACAUAAUUUUUCUCUGUUUCAGGUACAUACCCAACACUAAACUUUGCAUGUAUCAUUCUUGUACUUUUGUUAUUCUUUUCUUUUCUUUUCUCUUUUGCUGUAAUUUUUUAUGAAGCACUCUGUUUCAGUUCUGUUUCUGGUUUUGUUUCGGUUUAAUAUUAUUGGUUCGGUUCUGUUCUGCUCUGUUCUACGUCGUAUGUAUAUAUGUAUAUAUUUUUGGCCUCGAAUUGCUUUCAUCACCGGUUUUGUUAUUCAUUUAUCGUGAAAUUUAGAUGACUUGUUCGGCCAUGUUAUAUUCAGCUACCAUCUUCAUGGUGGGUUUGUAAGAUAGUCUCUGACUAACACAUGGCAUUGAUUAUGAAUGAUGGUUUUGUGAGAUACAUCAUACAGACGUUAACUCGUGUUAAUUUGUACUUACAUCAUUCAAAAGAUUAGUGUUUUUCUCUCUUUUUGUUUUUAAAAAAAAAUUGAAAUGCCCCUUUUCACAUUUUAUAGAUGAAAGGAAGAAACAUAAUAUCGCAGAACUAGAAUAAAGGAGCCUAUUCUGGUAUCUAUUAUCCGAGGAACCUUCUGUAUAUUCGGUAGGAACUACCAUGGGAAGUCAAAUCUUACCAGAGCCAGGCGGAGUCGUUGCUGAAGGAAUAUAUAUUAGCAGAUCCAUUUGUCCCGUACACUUCAAAUGUUGGUAGCAUUUUUGCUUGCACGAUGGUAUGUUUGUCAUCGUUACUGCGUGGUGGUAUAUACUAGAAAAUAUUUUGAAUGCAUAGUUUUUAUUUAAUUAGUUAUAAAUUUUAUACCCUCUGUUUUCCAUAAGAAUGUGUUCCUUUUCAGGUCUAUGAUCUUGCCCAAUUGAUUAGUGUGCUGUUCACUUUAAAUCUGAUUCCAGUUUCUCCAACAUACAGCGGGUCGAGUGGAGUUUAAUCAUUUUUCUUAAAUCGACAACUUAUGCAGGGCCAUAUCAACUGUCCAUGACAUUUUUAUUACAACAAUGUCUUUGUACUUUGUGUUUUGGUCGGAUCUCAGAGUUUGUGCAUAGCACACUUGGUUCUACUGUUUGUUUGUCCCUUCAUAGACAUUUUGAUAAACUGUUAUUUUUGUUCUUUGGAAGUGAAUAUUUUCAGCAACUAGAACUCCGAAGCAUCUGGAGUGAUCCAUUUUGUCAUUCUCAAUACCUAUAAAAGAAUGUCAUAGAAAACAGUUUCCAAAGCAAGUUGCAUGUGUUUUGAAUUUGUCUUUGCAAGCCACUAAUUGCUUGGAGCACACUGUUAGCCUGUCGCGAUCCCAUCCACUUUUUUGGAUAGACAAUUGUGCAUCCAUAUGAUCUGGACUAAACUAGUUUCUAAUAAAUAAUUGCCCAAGGAUUUAGUCUCAGUGUUACAGCCCAGUCUUUGUUGUCAAUACUCUUUCCCCUGUCGUGGAUGAGCGCCAUAACAGCUUCUUAAUGUUUUGCAGUGGCUUUUGCACGGUUGUUGUUUCCUUCUGAAGCUAGAGUAGCUACGGAUAGAGCGGAUGCAGAUGCCACCAGUUUUUAUACUAGCCUUUCAGCACCAAAAUCAAAAGGAUCAAGUGGGAACUUAAAGGAGGUUGAUUUGAAUGAAACACCCUCUAUGCAAGCCAAGAGACUCCAAUUAGGAUUGCAAGCUCUGCUUAAAACAAGUAUUCAUAUACCUUAUUAGUUUUUGUACCUUUACAAUUUGUGAUUUUUGUAUCAAAAGAGAGAGAGGUUAAUUUUUAGUGCAUUUACUGAACUUUCUAUGAUUGCAGUGGAGACAGGUCGACGCUACUUCCCUCGUUGCUCAGAAAUGGUUGAUAAAUUUUAGGAUUGUGAUUGGUCCGAUGCUUCCCUCCUAGAAAAAGGGUACUCCUGAAGAGCAGAGACUCAAAAGGGCACGCUUCAUGGAACUUAAAGAAGGCGUAAAGAAGGCAUUUUACAAGGACAUGGCUGAGAAAAUAUGGCUCAGGUUUGUAGUCAUCCUCGUCGUCGUCAUCUUCUCCCAAGGAAGGAGUAAAGUGUAAGGGUAGGAAAAGGUGAUGCUUAGCUGCUUGUCUUUGUUAUUCAUUUAUAGGCAACUCAAAGAGUUUUAGUGAGUUGGAUUGUUACGUUGUAGAGAGAUACUCUUCGAGCCUAUGUUAUGGCUUAUGUUGUAUAAUAGCAGAGGAACUUCAAGCUUGCGUUGUUGUAUUUUCCCUGGUAUUUGGCAUGUAAUGCACUAAAUGACAAAGAAUUUUCUAAUUUUAGAGGGAAAAGUUAUGUCAGUUAAUUAUUUAUUUAUUUUGUCUGUUUAAUUCAGUUUAUAAUAUAGCUUUUUUUUUUUCUUUCCAAAAAAAUCUUCAUUUCUUCAUCUGCAAUUUAAGUCAUUUGUAACUUCUUUCAGGGAGGAGAGAGAGAAAAAAAGAAAAAGAAAAAGAAAAAGAAAAGAGUUUAUUUUACAGUACUGAUUUUCCUACAGAAAUUGGUUAAGGUGACAUUAAUGUUCUUUGAGGUAGACGGAUAUGCAGAUUUUUCGUCGAAAUUGAAAUUAGAAAUGGAUGGAUAUGCAGAAUUUUUUAAUAGAAUUUUUAUACAAAAAUUUGUAGCUCAUUACUCUCUAAAAGGAAAAAAUAAAUUUUUGAUGGUAAAUAUUAAAUUUUAAAUUUAUAAUAUAAUAACUUUGUGAGUUAAGGUGCACAAUACCCAUAUAUUAAUAAUUAAGAAAAGAAAAAAAUUAAAUUUUGUAAAUUACCAAUUUUUUCUUGAAAUUUGAUAUUCUAUAUUAACGUAGGUGUUGCAUGGACUGGGUUAGUACAAUUGAAAGAAACUAACUAAAGUAAAACAAAAUAUCAUUAAAAAUAUGGCAAGCUUCUCAUAUUUUUUAAGUGAAAAAGAGAAGAAAACUAAAAUUAAUUAUUGUUAUACCCAAAUUCUAGUGCUUGAAGGCCGCUGGAAUUGACCAUUGCAGUUUUGUCAUCCUCAUUAUUCACCGGCCAUCGUGGCCUUCCUCCAUUAAAAAAAUAAAUGACCAUUUUUUUGGACCACGACAUAUUAAAAAUAGUAUUGAUUAAUACUAAUAUAUCUCUUUUUUGAUUAUUUUGCAGUGCGAUAGUCCAGUGAGGGCAGUGCCCAUCGUAGCACUUGAACAUGUGGUAAAUUUCUGCCAGUCUUUGUAAAAUAAUUUUUAAAUUAUGUAUUAACCAGAUAGCUCAAUGAAGACUAUCGCUUACUAAAUCAUUACUUUAUUUUGUAUAUAUUUAUGGUAAUUGUUGAAAAGAAAAAUGUAAAGUGAGAUUAACGAACGUUUAUGAAUGUGGAAAUUAACACAACCAGGAUUUAUGAUGAAAUAAUUUUAUGUCAAAUGAGUAUAAAUUUGUAUAUAUAUAUAUAUAUUUUGAAUUGUCAUAUAUAUACAAGUUUGUCACUAAUAGUAAACUUAAUUAUGAAUAUUUUAAUAAUUCAAAAUUUUAUUUAACCAUCGGUGUUUAUAGUGUUUUUCAUAAUACAAAAUUGUAAACAGUCUCAUCCUGAAAAGUAUAAUGCCAAACCUUUUCAAAAAUUUAUUCUAUUAUAGUCGUCUUAGUCAGUUAUAUUUAUUUCCAAAUUGAAGAUAAAAAUAAUACUUCAUAUAUCAUACAUUACUUCAUACAUUACUUAAAGUUUUUUUUUUUCAAUCAAAUUAUGAGCAAGUGAAAGGAUGCAAUAAGUUACGACUAAAAUUGUAAAAUUUACCAAUGGCUAUAUACAAAGUCUGAUUCUCAUGAGCUUAAAAGAUGGGCUUUGAAUGAUGUAUGGUUCUCAAAACUAUACUUAUAUUAAUAUGAUUGCCCUGCUUCCUUCAUGACGGGUAAUUUUUAGUUUCUUUCCCUGAAAUUUGGCGUAUCUCCAUUUUAAUGGGAAGUAUUAGCGUAUCUCCCACUUUUCUCCCCUGCCGUUUGUAUACCGUUUCAUAUUGUUAAUGGACGAAGCUACAAGUCUUCUCUUUCAUCAAAUCGAUCCAUAACAAAUACGAGUCUGCUUCACCUAACCAAAACACACACAUACUCCAUCUCUAAAUGCUUUGAAGAUAAACAAAUCAACCGUAAUCCUGCAACUUUAGCUCAGAGAAUCGGAUAAGAAAAGAACAGGUGAUGAAUCAAGGGUAAUGGCGCCGAGUGAGUGUCGCCUGCGGUCGGCGUUAGAGGCGACUGUCACUCAAUCGCGUACAAGGUUAGUCUUUGAAAAAACUCUUUGCACGUUAGAAAUCAGUGAUUGGGCAUUAUUUUGUUGUUUAAAAAUGAAAAUGGGUUUAUUAGUUUGUCGAAGAAUCUGCUCUGUUGCCGGUGUUGUUUGUUGAUUAAAAUGAAAAUGGGUUUGUUGAUGUGUUGAAGAAGUUGCUCUACUGCUGGUGUUUUUUUAUUAAUUAAAAUGAAAAUGGGUUUGUUAAUUUAUUGAAGCAGCUGCUGGCAUUGUUAUUGUGACUUUAUUUAUCCAAUUGAUGAGCUUAUGAGCUAAUAGUAUUGUUUGAUCAAGCUUGUGUUCUUAAUAGUGGAGUUGAUAUUCUUAAAAAUGAAUUUAUGAUUAUGAGAAUAUGAAAAUUGAAUGGCAUCAUAGAGAUCUAGAUUAAUCACCAUCGUAUAUGUUUCUAAAUAAAGGAAUAAGCAGCAACUGAUUUGAAACUUAAGACUUUAGGGAUAUGUAUGUGCAACUGAAUGAAUCAUCAGUUGCUAUCUUGUAAGUCAAUACUAGCAUAUUACUUAAUGGCAAGUGAAACUAUUUUAUGUGUAUUGCUGCCUAUCAAAAUGUUUAUGUUUGAAGUUAUCUCCUUUUAGGAAAUUGAAUGCUUCUGUGAGUUCUCUGGUAAGGGCUAUACAACUAGUUCUAAUAGAUUCCUUCAUGUGCAUUAAUUAGCUUAGUAGUUUAUUGACCUAUAUCCAAUGUCUAUUCCCCUUUUCUGUAGCCGUCUAGUUUUAUGAGCAUGUGAAGUGAACUUUUGUUUUAUGUUUCAGGACUUGGGAUUAGAGUGUAUAACAUUCAAUAUCUUUUUAUCAAAGAACUGAUAUAUGUCAAUGUAGUGCGAUCUGGUCUUUAUUAGCUUCUUGAUUUGCCAGGAUGUUUGACAACCAUCUUUGACCAUGAUUGCCAACAUAUAAGCUGCUACAUAGUGUCUCAGGAAUCACAGCAAAUUAUUAUCAUAAUAUGGUGAUUUUGAAUCCAAAACUUGGUAGUGUCAAGAAAAUAGACCCCUGUUUAUUUAUCUUCAUGUUUUGUAUGCGGCUGCAAUAGACUAUUAUAAGUUACUUUUAGUUUUAUCAAGUUUUUUUUCCUUAAAUUUCAUCGAGUCUUGGAGUCUUUGUAAUAUAGAGUCUAAGUGAAGAAUACUUGGGUGAAAUCUUGUAUUCUCUCUUCCAGUAAUAUAAUCAUCCUUUGUGUUUUUAUCUUUUUAUUUUGGAAUCAGAGCAUACUUUAUUAUAGAAGGACUUAGACUCUAUAUUACAAAGACUCAGCGGUUUCUUUUAACUGAGUUAAUAGUGUUGUUAGGUUAAACUAAGUUUGGCUUCAUAAGAUUCAUAGUAGAGUGUAGAACUGGGUACAAUGUUGGGUUAGACAAGUCAAAAGUCUUAUCAAGUAAUUGUUCUGCUUACUGAUUUGGUAAUUGCAACAUUGCUAAAUAGUUCAAUUUGUCCUUUUAUUUUGUUGAAUUUAUUGUAUGUCAUAUUACUUCAUUUAAUUAUUUUCUCAGAUCUUGUAGGUGAAAAUUUCAGCUUCAAAGGCCAAGCUAAUCAUCCAGCAAUUCAGUGAAACCAAGACACAGUGGCUCAUAAAUUGUUGUUGGUGAUCCAGCCAUUCGGGUGCUUGCCAGUCCUAGACGAGAAAACUUUCAACGCGGCGCAUAAAUUGUUGUUGAUCUACUUUAUAUAUUUUGACCUUUGUGAUUUGUGAAUACAUGGUUUGAUUCCAGUGUUUACAACUUUGAUACUGUGUAUAACUUAAAAAGCAAAUGAAACAAGUAGGAAAUGUGUUUUUAUUUUUUUUAUUCGAUCUAUCUAUUUAUUUUUUGUUUGGAAAUGUAACAAUUUAUAGCUGGCAAAGUACUAGAGUUGUAUACUUGUAUUUAAUUCAUUAUUAUUAUUUUUUUAAUGACUCAGUAAUGUCAUUGUCCAUGGUGUUCUGUCAUUUCGAAAGUACUUGACCCUUCCACGCUAAGGCACAUUACAGUAGCCGAAAUUUUGAGCUUUCAGUUCUUGAUUUUAGCGUGAGGGGUAUCUUUGUCUUUUCAGUUGUCAACAAACAAUUGGGGGGGGGGGGGGGGGCGGUGGUGGAGAUACGCUGAUACUUUCUAUCAUACUGGAGAUACACCUAACCUCAGGGAAGGAAACUGAAAUUUCACCUUUACGACGGGUGGACUUGGGUCAAACUUUCAUAUUUUAAUCAAGUAGGUCGAUCACGAUUCAAGCUUCAGUCAUAAGCCUUUCGUUAUGAUUGAUAUUAUUCUUUCUUGAUAGUAUCAUGGAAAAUGCAAACGAAAAGUCAGCAUCUUUGAGUUUUGUCUCAUCAUAUCCGACUUGUUGGUCUACUAAUCAAUCGACAGGCCCUUUUGAUCUUGAUAAUUUGAACUUAAGGAGGCAAAGCAGCAAUCCUGAAGAGCCAUUGCUUGAUGCUGAGAUCGUUGUUGACGGCAAAUCAGUGGCAGUUAAUCGCAGCAUAUUGUCUGCACGCAGUCGUUUUUUUCAUUGGCUUUUUCAUUUGAGCAGUGAUGGUUCUGUGAGUGAGGGGAAACCCAAGUAUCUUAUGACUGAUUUGGUGCCUUAUAGGAAGGUUGGAUAUGAAGCUUUUAAUGAUAUCUUGCAUUAUCUUUACACUGGAAUGCGUAAGGCACCUCCUUCAGAAGUGUUCACGUGUGUUGAUGAUACUUCUGUCUGUAGGCUUCAUAGAUUUGUUCAAGCCUUCAAGGAUGUCUAGCUGUUACUUACCGCCCAACAAUGGUGCUACAUUUCUAGUGAAUGAUAUGUUAUUCUACAUCUGUAUAUUGCGACUUUGACAAACUUCGCCUUUCCUUUGUUGAUUCACUCGUCUCACUUUUUUUAAAUUGCCCGAUUAUGAAAUGGUCUAUUGGAGACUAGCAUUGGAAGGUUUCUUCUGGAAAAAAAAUUUUACUUGACCACCAAUUUUCAUUUAGGUGGGUGUCAGUUCAUUCUCUGGCUUGACUGUUCUGUUAUUUAGGUUGUUUUAUCCGUAUUUCCUCACUCACUUGAUACUGAGUUUUCUCAUGCUUUCAAGCUCAACAGUGAAUGCGAAUGCGAGAGAUUCUCUUUCUUCCCGUCCAGGCUACAACGUAGCAAAUUGUUAAUGCUGUAGAAUAACAUCUUGUGUAGGCGAGCUUAUGUCUCUGUGAACAUUGGUCCAUCGGCAUUUAGGUUCAAUAAGCAUGGCACUGAUUUUCCCCCUCAUUAUUAUUUUCCUGAACAGGUUAUCCCCUUUAAGUAUUUGAAUUUUGAAUAUAUUAUUCUGAAUCAAAACUCUAUCUGUCCGUGUAGCAUUUUAUAUAUGCUUUAUGAUGUUUACCAAUAUUUACCCACUAUGGGGUAUUUGAAUUUUGAAUAUAUUAUUCUGAAUCAAAACUCUAUCUGUCCAUGUAGGAUUUGUUUCUGAACAAGGCUGAGGAUGCUCUUGUGGAAGAUGUAAUCCCAAUUCUCGUGGCUGCCUUCCAUUGCCAAUUGAACAAGCUUCGUUUUUUCUGCAUCCAGAGAAUUGCAAGGUCAAAUCUUGACAAUGUUUGUCUUGAGAAAGAGCUUCCUGAUGAAGUUUCAAGAGAAAUCAAAUCACUCCGUGUCAAAUCUAACCAGGAGUCUGAAGCUACUAUAGCAGAAGUGGAUCCUAUGCAUGCAAAAAUAGUCAGAAGAAUCCACAAGGCGCUGGACUCUGAUGACGUUGAACUGUUGAAGCUUCUUCUGGAUGUAUCUAACGUCACUCUGGAUGAUGCUUACGCUCUGCACUAUGCUGCUGCCUACUGCAGCCCUAAGGUUUUUAAGGAAGUUCUCAAUAUGGGCUUGGCUGAUCUCAAUCUUAAGGAUGCAAGAGGACGUAUGGUGCUUCAUGUAGCUGCAAGGCAUAAGGAGCCAGCAGUGAUGGUGGCCCUGCUGAGCAAGGGAGCAUGCGCAUCAGAAACUACAUCAGAUGGGCAAACAGCUUUAGCAAUCUGUCGAAGAAUGACAAGGUGAAAGGAUUAUAUUGAAGCUACAAAGCAGGGACAGGAAACUAACAAAGACCGGUUAUGAAUUGAUGUCCUUGAGAGAGAGAUGAGAAGGAACUCCAUGUCUGGGAACUUGGCAAUGUCAGCAGAAGUGAUGGAUGAUGAUUUCCAAAGGAAGCUGGACUAUAUGGAAAAUAUAGGUGAUAUUUUUUUACUGGUAUUAGUUCAUCACCUUCUCAGAGUUUGUGCAUAGCACACUUCUUUCUACUGUUUUUUUGUCCCUUCAUCUGGAAAAUAAAGGUGAUAUUCCUUUGCUGGUAUUAGUAAAUCAUCUUCUCAGAGUUUGUGAGUCCCUUCAUCAUAGGAUCUCAAACACACAUGGGCUUCUCAGAGUUUGUGAGUCCCUUCAUCAUAGGAUCUCAAACACACAUGGGCUCAUUGCUUGGAGCACACUGUUGGCCAGUCGUGUGAUUUGAUCCCUUUUUUGGAAUAGACAACUCUGAAUCCAUCUGAUCUAAGCUUGGCGGUUUGCACUGAACUGGUUUUUGAUGAAUAAUUGCACAAGACUUUGUCAUCAAAACUUUCAUUUUUUGGUUUUUUUGCCCCAAAAGUAAUGAGGUACAAAAAAAUCUAUGCCUAUCCUGGAUGAGUGCCAUAACAGCUUCUUAAUAUUUCGCAGUGGCUUGUGUACGGUUGUUUCCUUCUGAAGCUAGAGUAGCUAUGGAAAUAGCAGGUGCAGAUACAACCACUGGCCUUUCAGCAUUUGGUCGGAAAGGACUUAGUGGGAACUUAAAGGAGGUUGAUUUGAAUGAAAUGCCCUCUAUGCAAGCCAAAAGAUGCCAAUUGAGACUGCUCACUCUGCUUAAAACAGGUAUUUAUAUACUUUAUUCACUUUUGCACCUUUCUAUUUACUGAUUAUCUUUAUAAUUAAAUAAUACAUGUAUCCAGGUUUCUCCUUCCAUUUCAUUAGAAGUAAAAUUGGAAUCUCUUUAUAGUGCUCUGUUAGGUGUAAUCAGAUGUAUCAAAAGAGAAAGGGUAAUUGUUAGUACAUUGAUAACUCAACAAAAUGGUAGAACCUUUCUUUAUACCACUAAAGACAUUUGUUGCAGGUGUGCCUACAUAAUCGGUGUCCUUUAAAACUUUCAAGGAGUUAGCAAUGCCUAACCCUUGAAACACUAAAUCUCACGGGAUCAACUCUUUACCUCUAGACCGAAGGUGUGACACCCAGACCCAAUUAGGGCUUAGAACACAUAUCGAAUCUGAGCGAAACUAAAUGCUUGUAAAUCCAAAUCUCCAAAAUAUCAAAAGGUCGUCUACUUUCUCUUUUCAUGAAUUUCACAAAAUUUUGAAAAAUUUAUUCUCAAUCAUAAACUAUGCGCAGCUAAUUAAUCAGUAUAUCAGUAUACAACAAUACUUCCUCGUAAGCAAAUAAAUCUUA